rnacentral:rRNA from 1 species
CCGGGUCCGGACGUAUCGAGGAUUGACAGAUAGUUAUACAUGCCCUACAAGCAAGUAGGAGUCAGGUUUUAAACCUAAUGGCUCUUUCAUGAUUAUAUGAUAGGUGGUGCAUGGCCGUUCUUAGUUCGUGGAGUGAUCUGUCUGCUUAAUUGCGUUUCAAAUUUUUAACCGAGGACCGGGUUUUGGUUUGGCUAGUGGUCCUACGAUGACUGUGAACUGUCAUGUCUUCGGAUGUACGACUAUCGGUCUAGGAUCACAUGACUUGCCCCUGGGACUCUUUUGAACGCAACGGACGUGAUUGCAACCCCUUGUUGAGAUUAGAGAUAGUCUCGAUAUUCACUGGCCAAACUGGCUGCUUUAUGCAGUCUUGUUGAAUGGUGGAUAAACUCGGGGGACUGCUGACUAUAACCAUUUCUCAAAACAGAGGAAGGUUGCGGCAAUAACAGGUCUGUGAUGCCCUCAGAUGUCCCGGGCUGCACACGUGCUACAAUGAGUGGCGCAAUGUGCUAAUGUUUUAAGGGAUAAGCGUGCGGCCAGUAGAACGUCGGCAAUUGCCCUGGCGUCUUCUACCGCACGAUUAUCAGCCUUCCCUUAACAGGGCGGGCAACCUUUUCAAAAUACCGGUUUGAUGUUAAAGUAUAGAGUCGUUUUUUUUGG